UUGUGAAUAUUCUCACUGUUUUGAUUUUAAGGACAAGCUAAACAUUCACUAUAUUAAGACCAUGCAUGUGUCUCAGACCUACCUCUUUUCCUAGGUCUGUUUUUUUUCCCCUGUGGUUUUCUUU
ensembl:snoRNA SNORA72 Small nucleolar RNA SNORA72